AUUGAACGCUGGCGGCAGGCCUAACACAUGCAAGUCGAGCGGAGCGGCGGACGGGUGAGUAAUGCCUAGAAAUCUGCCUGGUCCUGGGGGAUAACGUCCGGUAACGGGCGCUAAUACCGCAUACUAUCAGAUGAGCCUCGGUCGGAUUAGCUAGUUGGUGGGGUGAAGGCCUACCAAGUCGACUAUCCGUAACUGGUCUGAGAGGAUGAUCAGUCACACGGGAACUGAGAAACGGUCCAGACUCCUACGUGAGGCAGCAGUGGGGAAUAUUGGACAAUGGGCGAAAGCCUGAUCCAGCCAUGCCGCGUGUGUGAAGAAGGGCUGCGGAUUGUAAAGCACUUUAAGUUGGGAGGCGUUACCAACAGAAUAAGCACCGGCUAACUUCGUGCCAGCAGCCGCGGUAAUAC
rnacentral:rRNA from 1 species